UUGAACUAAUAAAGUAUUUCAGAAUGAGUAGUGGUUAUCUCCGUGUUGAACUAAUAAAGUAUUUCAUGAAUUAUGUUUUAAUGUUGAACUUGCCAUUAUUAAACACUAUGUUGUUUAUAUCUUUCCAAAGCGCCCAAAACACAUAAUUUUCCAUCUUGAAUUUGAAAUACUUUUCAUCUUCAGCCAACCAGCUUGCAAUAUAAUCUUGAACAAUAGUAUUUGGAUUUGCAAUGGUUCCAGGACUCAUUGGGGAAGAAAAAAGCACAUCUUGAGAUGACUCACGGUGGAGAAAUAAGUGCUCAGCAGUCUCAGUGGCUUUGUUGCACAAUCUACAAUCAAUAUUCAUACCAGAAAUGUGUUUACUAAUGUUACGAGUUGCAUCCAAUCCAUUCUUCAAUAAUCUCCAUAUAAAAAAUUGGAUUUUAGGGUUUUAAGGAAAGAUCUUGUCGAGAGAGUACCUGUAGGAUGAUGUUUCCAUAUCAAUUUGUUUGUUGAGUUUACUCUAUUAUCCGCAGGUAAGUGGAUCUCUAAAAUCUUUAAUACUUCAGAAUGGUUAAAUAAUUAUUGCAACUUGUCUUCGUAUUACCUUUAUUCUUCAUGGAUAAUUAGGUCUCUCACUGUAGAGAUACUUGGAAAAGUAGUACUGCUUCUUUCAGGGGGAUUAUUUGGCAGGUUUGAGAUCCAUGGAUCAUCCCGAAUUCUGAUAUACUCUCAAUUCACCACGGCCUAACAACGACCUUCUCUGAUUUUUUCUCUCUGCACUUUAGCAUGGCACUUCAAGUAAAAGAGCACACAAAAGGUUUCCUUGCUUCCAAAAAAUUUGGCCUUCAUAGUUUGACCCCAAGGAAAGUCAGGAUUAUUUAAGAACUUCCACAUCAGUUUAACUAUCAUAUCCUUAUUUAGAUCCAAUUCACAAUCCACUCUAUUAUUUUUCUUCCAGUGCUUCUUCUUUUCAUGAGUAUAUCUCCACCAAAAAAUUCUCAUAAUUUUGUUAAGGAUCUAAAUAAUCUUCUUAGGAAUGAUAGAGGUUUCCUUAUAAUAAGGAGGAAUGAGAUCCAACCCAGUCUUUAUCAAUAUAGUUCUUCCGUCUUGAGUUAAGAUACCUCUCUUCUAACCAGUCAUCUUAUUAUUAACUUUAUAUGUCAGAAACUCAUACCAAGAGUUUUUAUGAGCAUGUUUAAGUAAAUGAUGGCCCAUUUUUAUUUUUAUUUGGUAAAUCAUAAAAUUUAAUUAAGAAACAAUUAUUUGUACAAAAGCAAACUUCCCAAAGAAAUCCAUUUUACUAAAAGCGUAUGUAGUUAUUACAAAAUCCUUUACAAAAUUGAUUGAAAUUAGCAAAAUAUAUAAUAUUUUUCAUCAUGUGACUCUAACCUAGAGGUUUUACAAAAUAUUCAUUUUUUUUUCAUCCCUCACCAUACCUGAUCAUUUCUUGGCCAGUUUAUCUGAUGAGAGAUUACCUUCUCUAUAUCUAUGAAUCACAACAACAAUUCCUAAAAUACCACGUGCUAUGUUAUAUAUAGAAAUCACCAACCAGGGAAUUUUACCAUGUUUGCACACUGGCCUGACCAUGCAUCGUAGAUGUUAAAGAUUUCCAUGAGAGCUUGAACAAUUCUCUUCUCCAAGGUACCAAAUAAAAGAAGAUCAUCUGCAAACAUUAAAUGGGAGACAACAAUGGAUUUUUUGCAAAUUUUAUAUCCAUUAUAUGGCGCACUAUUCUCCAUGGUUCUCAUCAACCAAGAGAGUUCUUGCGAACACAAUAUAAAUAAAUAUGGGGAUAAUGGGCACCCUUGUCGCAGACUCCUUUCACUAAUACAAAAACCUUCGGCUUGAACCAUUAAUAAUAAUAUAAAAGGUUGCGGUGGAUAUCCAUUUAUGUUGAUAGUGGUUUUUAACUUAGGGCGAAAACUGCAAAAUUUUGUCUACCUGUAUUGAUGGUGGUUUUUAGUUUAGGUCUAGAACUGUAAACUCUAUUUUUGUGCCUUUAUUCUGCAAAGAAUUUGGGCAACAUGUUAAACCCUCAGAAAAUAUACGUAAUCAUGUACAAAUUAUAUUUAUUACUCAAUACCUACGUGUAUGAAAAUUAUUAGAAUAAUAUUGGUGCAUGUUGCAAUA